rnacentral:rRNA from 1 species
GUGAGUAACACGUAUCCAACCUACCGGUUAUUCCGGGAUAGCCUUUCGAAAGAAAGAUUAAUACCGGAUAGUAUAACGAGAAGGCAUCUUUUUGUUAUUAAAGAAUUUCGAUAACCGAUGGGGAUGCGUUCCAUUAGUUUGUUGGCGGGGUAACGGCCCACCAAGACAUCGAUGGAUAGGGGUUCUGAGAGGAAGGUCCCCCACAUUGGAACUGAGACACGGUCCAAACUCCUACGGGAGGCAGCAGUGAGGAAUAUUGGUCAAUGGACGAGAGUCUGAACCAGCCAAGUAGCGUGAAGGAUGACUGCCCUAUGGGUUGUAAACUUCUUUUAUAUGGGAAUAAAGUGAGCCACGUGUGGCUUUUUGUAUGUACCAUACGAAUAAGGAUCGGCUAACUCCGUGCCAGCAGCCGCGGUAAUACGGAGGAUCCGAGCGUUAUCCGGAUUUAUUGGGUUUAAAGGGAGCGUAGGCGGACUAUUAAGUCAGCUGUGAAAGUUUGCGGCUCAACCGUAAAAUUGCAGUUGAUACUGGUCGUCUUGAGUGCAGUAGAGGUAGGCGGAAUUCGUGGUGUAGCGGUGAAAUGCUUAGAUAUCACGAAGAACUCCGAUUGCGAAGGCAGCUUACUGGACUGUAACUGACGCUGAUGCUCGAAAGUGUGGGUAUCAAACAGG